UACAGAGGUCCCAAGCGUUGUUCGGAUUCACUGGGCGUAAAGGGUGCGCAGGUGGGUUUGCAAGUUUGAUGUGAAAGCCCCGGGCUUAACCCGGGAAUGGCAUUGAAUACUGCAGAUCUGGAGGAUUGGAGGGGGGGACUGGAAUUCUUGGUGGUAGCAGUGAAAUGCGUAGAUAUCAAGAGGAACACCGAUGGCGAAGGCAGGUCUCUGGGCAUUAACUGACGCUGAGGAGCGAAAGCAUGGGGAGCGAACAGG
rnacentral:rRNA from 1 species